rnacentral:RNase_P_RNA from 1 species
AGUAAAUUGAGUGGUCGCUGGUAGAUUUCGAAAGGAACUACGAGAGGAAAGUCCGGGCUCCAUAGAGCAAUGAUGCUAGAUAACGUCUAGUGAGGGAAACCUUAAGGAAAGUGCAACAGAAAAUAACCGCCUCUUAUGAGGUAAGGAUGAAAAGGCGAGGUAAGAGCUCACCGUCUGCAUGGUGACAUGCGGAGCUGUGUAAACCCCAUCUGGAGCAACACCUAAGUAGAAGAUUAAGUCUGCUCGACGUCUUCUGAAUUGCGUGGCUUGAACUAUAUAGUAAUAUAUAGUCUAGAUAAAUGACUAUUUUAAAUGACAGAACCCGGCUUAUAGAUUUACUUCU